ACGCUCGACACCUACGGGGGGCAGCAGUGGGGAAUAUUGGGCAAUGGGCGCAAGCCUGACCCAGCAACGCCGCGUGAAGGAAGAAGGCCCUCGGGUUGUAAACUUCUUUUAACAGGGACGAAGUAAGUGACGGUACCUGUUGAAUAAGCCACGGCUAACUACGUGCCAGCAGCCGACGGUAAUCUGAGGCGGGCUGGACAAGGC
rnacentral:rRNA from 1 species